GCCGGGCACUCUGGGGAGGUCAGACCCGCGCCCAGCUAUCUUCUGCCGCCCUCUCGCCCGCCCUGUGCCGCCCUCGUUCCCUCUCCCCCAGCUCAGCCAGGCCAGCCUGGGACGCGGCGUGGUGACUUCCAAAAGGAUGCCUGCCUGCCUUCUCUCCUGGGUCAGUGACCAUCAGCCCUACUCCCACCUAGGUAGACUCUCAACAACUCCAAGAUCUCAGAGAAACAGAAGCUAGCCUUUGCAGUCUCUAACUCAGGACCUACCAGCUUCCAAGACGAUCGACAGCUGGAGUAUCUACCCCAUACAGUGAUUCCGUAUUCAGCGCCAUCCCUGGCUAUCGCCUACGUUCAUCUCAGGAGCACUGGGGACAUCACUGGUCCCGGAGCUGCCAGCAGGACUCCGCCAGGCAGAAAUGCACUGGCUUCAGGCCUCUGGUGCCUGAGGGCAGCAUUGAUCCCUGGCCUGGGCCAGGUGACAGCUUCUCCGUGAUGGGGACUGACGUUGGCCCCACAUCCAAGGCAGCUCCUCUGACUCCAGAGCGAUCUUUGGAAAGCUAGGGCAGCCUUACUCCCUGCUCCCUCCUCCCCAGGUGCCCUCUUCUCCUCCCCUUGUUGGACCCAGCCCUUAGGACCAACCUCUGAGAUCCACGCGAUGGUCCUGGUUGGGCCCCCGAUUCUCUGAUUGCUUGGGGUAAGUCCCAACAUGGCUGCCCUGGACCUCGGUUUCCCCAUGUGUAGCAAAGCCUUGAACUGCAUGACCCCCGUUCCUUGCGGUCCUGGCACUGGGAAUGGCAGAUGCAGUCGUGCCCACCACAAGAAGGAAGUGAUCCUGGCCACUUGGAUUCCCUGGGCUCAGUGAAGACCUGUCAGAUCUGCAGUCAGGAGGGUGGAGCCGUCGGCUCUAUGGCCUGUGAAGGUUUGUAGCCAUCACCUCAUAGACUGUGGGCAACCAGAAGACAGGGCCAUGCUCGGACUUACUGACCCUCACAUCCUCAGUGCAGUGCUCAACACGUAAAAGUUGCUCAAUAGCCCUGACUGGUUUGGCUCAGUGGAUAGAGCGUCGGCCUGCGGACUGAAAGGUCCCAGGUUCAAUUCUGGUCAAGGGCAUGUAC